rnacentral:lncRNA from 1 species
CUAGCUAAAUACAUCAUGAUCACUCCGUCCCAUAAUCCCUAUAAUCACAUGUCAUCACCUGAAAAAAAAUAUAAAUAAUAAGAGUGAGCUAACAGCUCAGUAGGCGACAUCAUGCAAUAAAGUCAUCAUAUAACAUGUCAUAAUGCAUAUAAAAGCAGCUAAACUCAUAAAUCCAAAAAUCCACACAAUAAUCUGUAAACCCGAUCCGAGACUCAAAAUAUCUCAACCGCAUGACUACGGCCACAUCACCCAGUGGCAUGGUUACACCGAAGUGCCAAUACAACUCUCCGAAGAGCCGCUCCACUGAGCCAACGCACCACUGUGCCGCACCCCUUGGUGCCAAACUCACGCUCCACUGAGCCAACGCACCACUGUGCCGCACCCCCUGGUGCCAAACUCACGCUCCACUGAGCUGCUCCGAAGAGCAAAAUGCACCCCUGUGCCGCCACUAUUCUAUCACCGGUGGUCGCGGUGUCGGAACUAGUUCCUCAGUACAAGUCGACAGGGCCAACGUAUCAUCCCAUUGGCGGGGUCUAGACUAUAGUCACGCGGAUUUUGAAAAUCAAUAAAUCAACUUUCUGUAUCAAAAUCAUAAUCAUACUCCCCACAGUAAAGCGCAUAACAAUUUAUGAAAUUAAAUAUUUAAUUUUAAUUCUAACACAUAUUGCUAAUAAUAAAUCAAUAAAUCAACAUAUGCAAGAUACAUGUUAGAAUUCUACUUUAAAGCAACGGUCACCUACCUGGGUUCGCUUAAAAAUUCCUGCCACAGAUAUCAC